rnacentral:rRNA from 1 species
GACGAACGCUGGCGGCGUGCUUAACACAUGCAAGUCGAACGGAAAGGCCCUGCUUUUGUGGGGUGCUCGAGUGGCGAACGGGUGAGUCACACGUGAGUAACCUGCCCUUGACUUUGGGAUAACUUCAGGAAACUGGGGCUACUACCGGAUAGGAGCUCCUGCUGCAUGGUGGGGGUUGGAAAGUUUCGGCGGUUGGGGAUGGACUCGCGGCUUAUCAGCUUGUUGGUGGGGUAGUGGCUUACCAAGGCUGUGACGGGUAGCCGGCCUGAGAGGGUGACCGGCCACAUUGGGACUGAGAUACGGCCCAGACUCCUACGGGAGGCAGCAGUGGGGAAUAUUGCACAAUGGGCGGAAGCCUGAUGCAGCAACGCCGCGUGCGGGAUGACGGCCUUCGGGUUGUAAACCGCUUGCGCCUGUGACGAAGCGUGAGUGACGGUAAUGGGUAAAGAAGCACCGGCUAACUACGUG